rnacentral:rRNA from 1 species
UACGUAGGGCGCAAGCGUUUGUCCGGAAUUAUUGGGCGUAAAGAGCUCGUAGGCGGCUUGUCACGUCGGGUGUGAAAGCCCGGGGCUUAACCCCGGGUCUGCAUCCGAUACGGGCAGGCUAGAGUGUGGUAGGGGAGAUCGGAAUUCCUGGUGUAGCGGUGAAAUGCGCAGAUAUCAGGAGGAACACCGGUGGCGAAGGCGGGUCUCUGGGCCGAUACUGACGCUGAGGAGCGAAAGCGUGGGGAGCGAACAGG